GUGCUCACUUAGGCAGCAUGUCUACCAAAAGUAGAAUGAUAACAGAAAAUUAAUACAACCCCUGCCCAAGGAUGACACACAAAUUCAUGCUGUUCCUUUUGUUUGU